rnacentral:lncRNA from 1 species
UUAUUGAGGCCAGGGCUUCUGGGAAGUCUCCCCAGCCUCAGCUGCUGAGUAACAAGGAGAAAGCUGAGGCCAGGAAGCUCUGGGAGUACAAGAACUCCGUCAUCUCUCAGGUGACCACCCAUUUCACAGAGGACUUCUCACUGAAUUCUGCAAUUUCUCAGCUGAUGGGACUCAGCAAUGCCCUCUCGCAAGCCUCUCAGAGCGUCAUUCUCCACAGCCCCGAGUUUGAGGAUGCUUUGUGUGCCCUGAUGGUAAUGGCUGCUCCACUGGCCCCUCAUGUAACCUCAGAGAUCUGGGCAGAUCAACAAUAAAGCUUGUGGCAAAAUUCCUGUGCCCCAACAAGUUGCCCGGGACCAGGACAAAGUCCACGAAUUUGUUCUUCAAAGCGAGCUGGGUGUCAGGCUUUUGCAAGGACGAAGCAUCAAGAAGUCCUUCCUUUCCCCGAGAACUGCCCUCAUCAACUUCCUGGUGCAAGAUUGACAGCCAGGAGGCUGCAGCUACCACGAGGGCCUCUGAGGAACCUCCUUCCAGGCCUGGGAUGAGGGGGCGAUGUCUGCUGGCCCAGGGGAAGGGAAAAGACAAAUGUCUUGACUGUUGACCUCGGUCCUGUGGCAGACUGCAGUCAACAGUGUGCCUCUGUAGUGUGGCCUGGUGCUGGGGUGAAGGUGAGCUGGGCAAAGGAGAAAUAUGAGCUACUGAGGAGGGGGUUGGACAUCCUGCCCCUCACCCCCCACCCACACUGCAGGUAGAGGAGGCCAUCUGAUCCCAUGGGAAGCCAUCAGAGACACUGCUGGUGGGAGCAGGAAGGAGCAGUGCCCCUCGAGCAGCCAGGAAGCCUGCGGAUCUGGGAAAUGGCUCUGCCUUAGGCACUUCUCGGGAAUUUGAGGCCAGCCUGAGGAACUGCAGGACUCAGGUGCAAUGUGCCAGCCACUUGGAACUGCUAACUGAGCCUCCAGAUGGUAGUGAAUGGUCUCUUUGCCUUCAGGCUGGAUGAGGAAGUCAUUUAGGAAAUGUUCAAAUAACCAAUAUGUGGAAAUGGACACAGGGAUCUUCUGAAGUUGCUUUGAAUCAAAAGGCAGGCAGUGCUGGUUCCUCUGCCUGUGUCCCCACCACUCCCCAGCUCUGUCAUGCAGGCCUGUCCUCCCCAACCCCAGCUGGAUGUGCCUCCCAGGCCUGCUGUGGUUCUGACACACAGGAUCCCAGGCAAGGCACCACUUCCUCACAUGAAUGAGGAGCAGCAAGUCAUAACCACUCCCUUGGGUAUACAAUUUGCUGUGUAGUGAAGUGGAACCAGGCUCAGGCUGCUGGUCCCAACCUCAGAGCCCCACCGCAGCCCAGUAGGGAUGCAGCACGCCCCAGAGGGCUCAUGUGGGCCCCAGAUGGCAAUGCCACCAUUGUUGAUGUGACUCCAGAGCCAGUUAUUAGGAAGAGCAAGCUCACCACAGAGGAGUGGAACUGAGGCCCCCCAGAUGUUGCCUCCGGUGUCCAAGCCACAGCGGUCUGGCUGUUGGGAAGAUGGCCAGGAAUGGACUCAUACCAUUGGCACAUUAGGCUAAUCCUGGUUUUAUGUGAAGUCAGCAAUUAAGUGUUCCCACUAGAACUGACCUAAGCCACUGAUUAAUAUUUAAUGAGGGAAGGUAGGGGAGAAUCUAGCCAUUUUAUAAUGCCAGAAAUCUAUAUAUGUUAUCUGAUGCCAUUUUUCUGAAGUAGCCUCACAUGUGGUCCCCCUGCAGUUCAGCAGUUAACAGAUGACUUUUUUAGUGUAAUAAAAUGUUUAUCAUCUAUGA